rnacentral:rRNA from 1 species
CCUACGGUGUGCAGCAGUGAGGAAUAUUGGUCAAUGGGCGUAAGCCUGAACCAGUCAAGUCGCGUGAGGGAUGAAGGUCCUAUGGAUCGUAAACCUCUUUUGUAAGGGAGUAAAGUGUGGGACGUGUCCUGCUUUGUAUGUACCUUAUGAAUAAGGAUCGGAUAACUCCGUGCCAGCAGCCGCGGUAAUACGGAGGAGCCGAGCGUUAUCCGGAUUUAUUGGGUUUAAAGGGUGCGUAGGCGGCCUUUUAAGUCAGCGGUGAAAGUCGGUGGCUCAACCAUAGAAUUGCCGUUGAAACUGGGAGGCUUGAGUAUGUUUGAGGCAGGCGGAAUGCGUGGUGUAGCGGUGAAAUGCUUAGAUAUCACGCAGAACCCCGAUUGCGAAGGCAGCCUGCCAGGCCAUGACUGACGCUGAUGCACGAAAGCGUGGGGAUCAAACAGGAUUAGAUACCCUUGUAGUC